GCAAAUUCGUGAAGCGUUCCAUAAAAUUGGAACGAUACAGAGAAGAUUAGCAUGGCCCCUGCACAAGGAUGACAUGCAAAUUCGUGAAGCGUUCCAUAUUUUU